rfam:Schistosoma mattheei strain Denwood, Zambia genome assembly, scaffold: SMTD_scaffold0003999
AUCCGGCUGACGAAUCCCAAAUGGGAUGAAACACCCGUCAAACUGGAU